GCCAUUAAUUUUGACAUCUUGAGUUGAUUCUCGAGGAACCAACAAUGGAAUUGGAGGGUGAAGUCGAAGUGUUUCUUUGAUCACUGCCUUCAAGAACUUCAUCUUUUCUAGAUCGUCGUCAGAUACGUCUGCUUGUCCUCUGAAGGAGUAUGAGUUAUGUAUAUCUGUGACCAUAUUUGUAAGUUGGAAGUAGCUAAUUGGAUGAGAGAACCGAGAAGCAGUAUAUCCAUGGAGUCUUUAUCUCCUUUACUGUAUUUGAAACAGUCUCGCAAAACUGGUUGGGCAAACAAGGUAGCAGAUAGUGAAUAUAUUUGUUCAUGUAUUUUGUGUCUUUAUCAAUCAUUUUAUGGCUUUCAAUACAAAAUAGUAUUCUUUAUCCUUUAUUUGUUAUGCUCAUUUGUUACUCUAACCUAAUUCAUGGCUUUCAUCAAUACAAGCUUUUGACUUUGUCAA